GAGUUGAUUAGAUUGAACCAUCGGACUCUGUUAUUCUUCUUCUUCCGUGUGUUUUGUUUUAUUCCAUUUCUUUUGGCGCAAGCAGCACCUAAUUAUUCCAGGUACCGUCAAUUUUGUGGUUCCCUGGCAAUUCCGAUCUCAUCCACUGCUUCCUUCAAGGUCCAGUCCUCUGGCAUCCAUGCCCGAGCUGCUACGGAGGAGACCCCCCACGAUUUUAUUGUUAAGAAUAUUGACAGGAAGGAUGUUCCUCUCAGCAAAUUUAUUUCUGCUCCAAAAGAGUGUUUAUCAAUAGGAAUGUGAGAAUCUUAUUGACCGGUUAUGUUUUGACGCACUGGUUUGACUUCAUCAAAUUAAACUACGCUCCGCCGGCACUUGUAUGAGAGGCACAAGACUGAUUCAAGGUGAGUGAAAUUUGUGCUAUGUGGUUGUUGAUUUGGUGCCUUUAGUGAAAUCUUCAUAUAUACCGUUUGAAGAGGGAGAUUCAUGAAGCUCUUCGGUGUUGGUUUUUAGUUUGGCGAUUCAGUAUUCUACAUAAGGAAUAACAUUCAAGAAUAAUUUAUGACAUUUUCAUUUUUCAUGAAAUUAAGAUUGUGCCUUUUAUUUUUCCGAAGACUUUCCAGAAGUUGUCUUUGUUUUAUUUGAAGUAGUACUACUUGGCCUAAAAUCCAAAUUUGUUGAUAUAUAUAUAUAUUUUCACUGCUUGAGAUGAAUUUUAUUGGACACGUAGUUGGUUUACAAUCGUGAUGCUGAGAAUUUUAGUGUGAAAGUAAGGAGUGACUGACUUCAUCUCAAACGGCUAUACCUGCAUGCCCGUCGAAGUCAUAAGCGACUUUGUGUUGUACAAUAGAAACUACUACAGGCAAACAGCAUAUCGUGGACUCUUUAUCCUCAAUUGAGCAGUUGAGUCUGCGCUGCAAGGUCUGAUCUUCCAUUCUCUGUCACUUAGAUUGAAAUUUUUGUUUCAUAUGUCCAUCUUUGCUGCAUUAUCUCUACUGGUUAGCCUCCAUCCAAUAAAAGUUGGAAAGUGUUAUUACUCCAGCUAAAAUUAUAUUUUCUUGUACUUCACUCAUGUUAUUUUAAUACUAAUGAUGUCUUUUACUUUUCAAACCUACAGGAUCAAAACUGAGUAGUGACAACUCGAUCUUCUGCCGUUCUUAGUGUAACGAGCUGAUAUACCCUUUGACAACAAGUCGAUCUUCUGUCUUUUAAGGUGCACGUUCACAAAAAGAUCAUUUUUUGUUCAUCCUUAUAGGGGAUAACUAUUUUUUGUUUAAGCUCAGUAGAAAGUCUUUUGGGUUUUACUUGGGCAAUAGCUGAAACAUCCAUGUUUUUUGGCGUGCUUGCAAAGGAGGGAAAUAUAUCUGUCAUGACCAUUUAUGUGAUUCAAAUUUAUGUGGAAUGACCAUUCACUGACUUUCACCGAUAA